rnacentral:lncRNA from 1 species
UGGUGUGAACCCGGGAGGUGGAGCUUGAAGUGAGCCGAGAUCGCGCCACUGCACUCCAGCCUGGGCGACAGAGUGAGACUCCGUCUCAAAAAAAAAAAAAAAAAACUAGGGCGGGUGCGGUGGCUCAUGCCUGUAAUCCCAGCAUUUUGGGAGGCCGAGGCGGGUGGAUCAUGAGGUCAAGAGAUGGAGACCAUUCUGGCCAACAUGGUGAAACCCGGUCUCUACUAAAAGUACAAAAAUUAGUUGGGUGUGGUGGCGCUCGCCUGUAGUCCCAGCUACUCAGGAGGCUGAGGCAGGAGAAUUGCUUGAACCCGGGAGGCGGAGGUUGUAGUGAGCCAAGAUCGUGCCAUUGCAUUCCAGCCUGGGCGACAGAGCGAGACUCUUGUCUAAAAAAAAAAAAGAGAGAGAGAAAUUAAAAAAAAGAGAGAAAUUAUAAAUGUAAUAUCCAUAUUCAUAUAUAUAUUUAACUGCUGUAUCUUUUUUCUCUUUGGUAAAACUGAGAUUAAAAUUUUGUUACCAGGUCCGGGUAGUGGUAGCUCUCACCUAUAAUCCCAGCACUUUGACACGCCAAGGCGGGCAGAUCAUCUGAGGUCAGGAGAUCGAGACCAGCCUGGCCAACAUGGUGAAACCCCAUCUCUAAUAAAAAUACAAAAAGUAGCUGGGUGUGGUGGUGCACACCUGUAAUCCCAGCUACUGGGGAGGCUGAGGCAGGAGAAUCACUUGAACCUGGGAGGUGGAGGUUGCAGUGAGCCGAGAUUGUGCCAUUGCACUCUAGCCUGGGCAACAGGAGUGAAAGUCAGUCUCAAAAAAAAAAAAAAUUUGUUAUCAGGAUUCUUC